rnacentral:lncRNA from 1 species
AUAUGCUCCUCUUCUCUUCUUAUAAAUCCAUCUCUUGAUGAAUUCGUUCUGAAGAUUAAUAAUGAAGAAAAGGAAACACUUGUUUCCAUGCCUUCUAUACACACUCUCACUUGAUGAAGGAUCACUCGGAAGCAUUAUUGCAAUGUAACUUGGAUCUCUUCACCCUUCUUUUUUCUUUUUAUUUAUAAAAAGAAAAGAAAAAAAAAUAUACAGGCAGACAGGAUGGAGCCAGGCAAGUAGUUCUAUAGAUUUAUGUGGUUCCUUUUUAUUUUUCUUACUUCUUUUCCCUUUUCAGAUUAGGAGCUUCUAUCUAACUCUUCAUGAAGAAUUGAAGGGUUUAAUUGAUGAUGGGUAGAUAUUAGCUUAUCCUAAUUUAUACGUGUAUUAUAUAUAUAUUAUUGUGGCAAUAAUGAUAAAUGGAUAAUCAGUCUUCAAUUUUAAUGUUUGUUUCGCCGGCCUGAGCAUAAAUUUUCUUGAUCC